rnacentral:rRNA from 1 species
CCUACGGGCGGCAGCAGUGAGGAAUAUUGGUCAAUGGACGAGAGUCUGAACCAGCCAAGUAGCGUGAAGGAUGACUGCCCUAUGGGUUGUAAACGUCUUUUAUAUGGGAAUAAAAUGUUCCACGUGUGGGAUUUUGUAUGUACCAUAUGAAUAAGGAUCGGCUAACUCCGUGCCAGCAGCCGCGGUAAUACGGAGGAUCCGAGCGUUAUCCGGAUUUAUUGGGUUUAAAGGGAGCGUAGGUGGAUUGUUAAGUCAGUUGUGAAAGUUUGCGGCUCAACCGUAAAAUUGCAGUUGAAACUGGCAGUCUUGAGUACAGUAGAGGUGGGCGGAAUUCGUGGUGUAGCGGUGAAAUGCUUAGAUAUCACGAAGAACUCCGAUUGCGAAGGCAGUUCACUGGACUGCAACUGACACUGAGGCUCGAAAGUGUGGGUAUCAAACAGGAUUAGAUACCCGGGUAGUC